UGAGGCCUGUCCAGAGCCACUGACAGAGGCUGAAGAGUCCUUCCAACCCUCCACGGCUCACUUUCUUAUUUUCAUCUUCAGGCUACCUCAGGCUUGGGGCUGGCUCCUGGAUGCACUGACAGGGUGGAGAUAGCAAGUUAGGAGGCGGGGUGGCUCUGCCAGACGCUCAGACCCAGGGCAGAGCAGGGGUAGCCCUGGGGCAUCCUGGGCUCGGGAUCUGCUCCUGACAACCUGUGUGACCUGGACAGGCUCCUGCAUACUCUUGGCCUGGGUGGAGGGGGGACUCAGAAGGCAGCCAAGUGUAUUAUUAGCACAGGAAUAUUAACUGCCCCCGUCACUUCUCCCAGUCUGGGAAAGGCCAUACCCAUAAAUUAGGGCCGAGAGUCUGCCAGGCAGCGGCUUAAUGAAGAAGGAGAUGGACUUCAGGGAGAGCAGGCAGUGCCUCUAGAGGUCACAAGUCCAGCCCCAGCCCGGACAGAAGGAACCCGGAGCCAGAGGCAGGCAGGGGUGUCCGAGGCCACAGUGUCAGGCUGGGCCAGGAAGGCAGGGGCUGGUUCUGCUGUGGUCACUGCUGAAUCCCCAGACCCUGGCACAUAGUAGGGUCUCAACUGGUAUUUCUGGCUAAGGACUAGGUGACAUGACAAGUCAGGUGCUGAGUUCAGACUCAAACCCAGUCCUCUCGACUCUAGCUAGGUCCUCCCUGGUUCCCAGACCAGGUCUGAGGGUGUGAGUAGGUGAGGGAGUGUGGAAGCAAAAGGCUUCUCAAGGAGAUGUCUUUGAAAGGCAAUUUCACAGUGUUUUUGAGGUCACAGAACCUGGGAAGUCUGCCACAUU
rnacentral:lncRNA from 1 species